AGCGAACGCUGGCGGCAGGCUUAACACAUGCAAGUCGAGCGGGCACUUUCGGGUGUCAGCGGCGGACGGGUGAGUAACGCGUGGGAACGUGCCCUCUGGUUCGGAAUAACUCAGGGAAACUUGAGCUAAUACCGGAUACGCCCUUUUGGGGAAAGGCUUGCUGCCGGAGGAUCGGCCCGCGUCUGAUUAGCUAGUUGGUGAGGUAACGGCUCACCAAGGCGACGAUCAGUGGCUGGUCUGAGAGGAUGAUCAGCCACACUGGGACUGAGACACGGCCCAGACUCCUACGGGAGGCAGCAGUGGGGAAUAUUGGACAAUGGGCGCAAGCCUGAUCCAGCCAUGCCGCGUGAGUGAUGAAGGCCUUAGGGUUGUAAAGCUCUUUUAUCCGGGACGAUAAUGACGGUACCGGAGGAAUAAGCCCCGGCUAACUUCGUG
rnacentral:rRNA from 1 species